UACGGAGGGGGCUAGCGUUGUUCGGAAUUACUGGGCGUAAAGCGCACGUAGGCGGACGAGAAAGUCAGAGGUGAAAUCCCGGGGCUCAACCCUGGAACUGCCUUUGAAACUCCUUGUCUUGAGGUCGAGAGAGGUGAGUGGAAUUCCGAGUGUAGAGGUGAAAUUCGUAGAUAUUCGGAGGAACACCAGUGGCGAAGGCGGCUCACUGGCUCGACACUGACGCUGAGGUGCGAAAGCGUGGGGAGCAAACAGG
rnacentral:rRNA from 1 species